AGGGAAUCUUCCGCAAUGGACGAAAGUCUGACGGAGCAACGCCGCGUGAGUGAUGAAGGCUUUCGGGUCGUAAAACUCUGUUGUUAGGGAAGAACAAGUGCUAGUUGAAUAAGCUGGCACCUUGACGGUACCUAACCAGAAAGCCACGGCUAACUACGUGCCAGCAGCCGCGGUAAUACGUAGGUGGCAAGCGUUAUCCGGAAUUAUUGGGCGUAAAGCGCGCGCAGGUGGUUUCUUAAGUCUGAUGUGAAAGCCCACGGCUCAACCGUGGAGGGUCAUUGGAAACUGGGAGACUUGAGUGCAGAAGAGGAAAGUGGAAUUCCAUGUGUAGCGGUGAAAUGCGUAGAGAUAUGGAGGAACACCAGUGGCGAAGGCGACUUUCUGGUCUGUAACUGACACUGAGGCGCGAAAGCGUGGGGAGCAAAC
rnacentral:rRNA from 1 species